ACUCCUACGGGAGGCAGCAGUGGGGAAUAUUGGACAAUGGGCGCAAGCCUGAUCCAGCCAUGACGCGUGAGUGAUGAAGGCCCUAGGGUUGUAAAGCUCUUCCACCGGUGAAGAUAAUGACGGUAACCGGAGAAGAAGCCCCGGCUAACUUCGUGCCAGCAGCCGCGGUAAUACGAAGGGGGCUAGCGUUGUUCGGAUUUACUGGGCGUAAAGCGCACGUAGGCGGACUAUUAAGUCAGGGGUGAAAUCCCGGGGCUCAACCCCGGAACUGCCUUUGAUACUGGUAGUCUUGAGUUCGAGAGAGGUGAGUGGAAUUCCGAGUGUAGAGGUGAAAUUCGUAGAUAUUCGGAGGAACACCAGUGGCGAAGGCGGCUCACUGGCUCGAUACUGACGCUGAGGUGCGAAAGCGUGGGGAGCAAACAGGAUUAGAUACCCCUGUAGUCCC
rnacentral:rRNA from 1 species